GGGGAAUCUUCCGCAAUGGGCGAAAGCCUGACGGAGCAACGCCGCGUGAGGGAUGAAGGCCUCUGGGCUGUAAACCUCUUUUAUCAAGGAAGAAGAUCUGACGGUACUUAAUGAAUAAGCCACGGCUAAUUCCGUGCCAGCAGCCGCGGUAAUACGGGAGUGGCAAGCGUUAUCCGGAAUUAUUGGGCGUAAAGCGUCCGCAGGCGGCCCUUCAAGUCUGCUGUUAAAAAGUGGAGCUUAACUCCAUCAUGGCAGUGGAAACUGUUGGGCUUGAGUGUGGUAGGGGCAGAGGGAAUUCCCGGUGUAGCGGUGAAAUGCGUAGAUAUCGGGAAGAACACCAGUGGCGAAGGCGCUCUGCUGGGCCAUCACUGACGCUCAUGGACGAAAGCCAGGGGAGCGAAAGGGAUUAGAUACCCCUUGUAGUC
rnacentral:rRNA from 1 species